UGCAUCCUGUUCCUAUUGAUCAUCCUUGGUGUUUCUUCAACUUGAUUGGAGUGCAACUGUGGUAAACACAAUUGUCUAUAUAAGGUCCCACCGUUGACAAUCUUUGUCAGCAAAAACAAAUCCAUGAGGUCGAAGGAAUUGUCUGUAGAGCUCUGAGACAGAAUUGUGUCGAGGUACAGAUCUGGGGAAGGGUAACAAAAGAUUUCUGCAGCAUUGAAGGUCCCUAAGAAGACAGUGACCUCCAUCAAUCUUAAAUGGAAGUUAGGAACCACAAAGACUUUUCUUAGAGCUGGCCGCCCGGCCAAACUGAGCAAUCGGGCAACAAGGGCUAUUCCUUCUCAUUUCAUCUGACCUGACCUUGGGCUGAAUUCCUCACUCCUCCCUACCAAGCCUAGUGCAAAUAGAGUUCCUCAGGAGAGGCAGGUGGUUACAUAGAUGCGUAAGAGAUCAGCUUUUAUGAAUCUUGGAAGUAUUUUUUUUAAAUUAAAUGUUCUUUUUAUUCAUUUGAUUUUGGUCAAAGUGACCAAAGCGAGCGAAGCCCGAUCUUAAGUAGGAUGCCAAAUCUGAUUUGAUUGUUUUCUAAAAAUAGGUUUGGAAAUUGGCCAGUGUAAUGAGAUUAGUCCUUGUCCAGAGUGCAUUCUGUUAUGCCAUAGAGUGGGUCUCCUCUCUCACUCACUCUCACUCAUCCCUCCCCUUCUCUCCCCUAAGAAAUAAAUGUCUAGUCAAGGCCUUCAGAUGUAUUAAGGGCAUCAGCCCCUUGUCUGUUCAUGGACAUUGACCCUGGACGUAAGGAACACAGUCUGACAACGCCCACAGACCAAGGACAAUUCACUCAACAUGUAACAGACGGAGAGAAAAAUCAAUUGAAUGAGUUUGUUCAAACUUCAGUCAACUUUACAUACACACACACACACACACACACACACACACACACACACACACACACACAAGAAAUAGGAUGAGUAUGUUUACCUACUUCAGCAAACAGUGUGGGUGUCCUCAAGUACUUUGCAAUCACGCAAAGUCUUCAAAAUCAGAGGUCAAGUGGGGCCAGGUAACAACAGAGAAUAGCCAGGUGUGGUCUCAGACCUCUGUUAGAAACCCAGGUACCACAGGGAAAGGUGGAUAAUUGAAGGAAGGUUUUUGUAGGGCAGGAUAAUUGAAGGAAUGUUUUUGUAGGGCAGGAUAAUUGAAGGAAGGUUUUUGUAGGGCGGGAUAAUUGAAGGAAGGUCAAGUGGGGCCAGGUACAACAGAGAAUAGCCAGGUGUGGUCUAUGACCUCUGUUAGAAACCCAGCUACCACAGGGAAAGGUAUGGUCUCAGACCUCUGUUAGAAACCCAGGUACCACAGGGAAAGGUGUGUUCUCAGACCUCUGUUAGGAACCCAAGGUACCACAGGGGCCAUAUUUGGCCAGGUGUGGUUUCAGACCUCUGUUAGGAACCCAGGUACCACAGGGGCCAUAUUUGGCCAGGUGUGGUCUCAGACCUCUGUUAGGAACCCAGGUACCACAGGGAAAGGUGUGGUCUCAGACCUCUGUUAGGAACCCAGGUACCACAGGGAAAGGUGUGGUCUCAGACCUCUGUUAGGAACCCAGGUACCACAGGGAAAGGUGUGGUCUCAGACCUCUGUUAGGAACCCAGGUACCACAGGGGCCAUAUUUGGCCAGGUGUGGUCUCAGACCUCUGUUAGGAACCCAGGUACCACAGGGAAAGGUGUGGUCUCAGACCUCUGUUAGGAACCCAGGUACCACAGGGAAAGGUGUGGUCUCAGACCUCUGUUAGGAACCCAGGUACCACAGGG